AAUACAAUAAUUUAAGUAGGCCUUGAAAUAAGCCUUCAAGUGUUGGAUGUUUAGCCCUUUUAUUUACUGUUGUAUGUAACAUAAAUAUAUGGGAGAGUUAUUUGUCAGUAUUGUCAUAAGAUUCAUAGACAAGAUCGUUCAAAUUCAAAUAUCGUUUGAUUAAAUGUUGGCCAUCUUAAAUUACAAUUUUUUUUCCAUGGCUAUAUACGUUAAGUAACAUAUGGGUAUCAAAAUUACGCUUAAACAAGUUUGAUGUUGCCUAGAAUGUUUCCCAUGCGUGUACAAAAAAUAUAAUUUAAAGUACAUAACAUAAGUUUUAUUUGUUUUGUUAGCUCUAAAUUUUUCUAAUCUGGUUUGAGUUGAAUAGUUUCUUAGAUUAACAAACCAUAGUUCACAGAUUGUUAAUAUACUUUUUAGAAAAUCAAAAGGAAGCAAUAUAGUGAAUUGAUUUAAUGAUUGAAGUUUAGCAGUACUCUUCUAGUCUUCUUUAAAGAUAAUUUUAUUUUUAUAUUUUAUAUACAGUGCGUGUAUAAAGUAUGAAAACAUAAAGAUAUCUCUGACACCCCGUAUGAUACAGUAACAAAAUGUUGGUUAUGUGUAUAAGAUGGACCAGCGAUUUAAAAUUUUAUAUUUUCGACGUUGCCAAAAGUUUUUCACACAUAAAUGGUCUGGGACACCCUGUAUAAUCUGUUAAUGGCCAAUAUUGACCAUUAAUAUACAGAAAUUAUUAAACACAUUUUUAUUUUGUAAUUAAUAUUGCUGUACCUAUAAACAGAAAGCACCAAAA
rnacentral:lncRNA from 1 species